GCAAGUCGAACGGUAACAUGAUUGCUUGCACUUUAUUACGAGUGGCGCACGGGUGCGUAACGCGUAUGCAACUUACCCCAAACUGGAGAAUAGCCUUUAGAAAUGAAGAAUAAUACUCCAUAGUAUUCCGAAGAGGCAUCUCUUUGGUCUUAAAGCUUCGGCGGUUUGGGAUAGGCAUGCGUUCUAUUAGUUAGUUGGUGAGGUAAUGGCUCACCAAGACCGCGAUAGAUAGGGGGCCUGAGAGGGUAAUC
rnacentral:rRNA from 1 species